ensembl:lncRNA
AUCAGAAUGCAUCAUGUGUCGAGGUCCAACUGAAACGGAAUUCGAAGGCUGACGCUUUUUUAGAAGAGAGUCUGAAGAUCAACUGCACUGUAAAGCACUGUGGUGAAAGGCCAGCAGUCGGAUGGUGCAAAAUUGCAGAUUUAGACGACUGCAUUCCAAUUAGUAAAGAUUAUCAAAUGGAAGUACUAUGGAGAAAGAACAAUGAAUCAUCCAGCAUCUUAUCACUGCAUUUCAAACACAUAGCCAUAAAUGAUUCUGGAUUGUACCGGUGUCAAUGUCAAUCUGAAUCUGAAAGCUGUAUCAGUCAUUCAAUCAAUGUCACAGUGAAAGGUAAACAGUGGCUUUCCUUUUCUACUGAUUUUAUAAUUACUAUACAAAAAAACAUUGUUUUAAAAUAACAUUUACAUAAACACACUUUUCCUAGCAAAAUCAGACAAUGUUUUGUUUAAAAACUUUUCAGAAGAAAUGUUGGACAUUAUGCCAACUGUAAACAAUGAGAACCAAACUGCAAGUAAGGGCAACAAUUUGAAUACUUUUAUUAAGAUACCUACACACAAAUUAUUUGCAGUAUAACAAGUCAUUGGAGCCAGCACAAUGUGACUUUGUGAAAACAAUACUGGAUAGCUGUGAAACCUUACCUUUCCCCUCAAAACACAUAGGCUUUCUAUUAUGAAUGCAUUAAAAAAGACAAUGUGCAUUGAUUAUUAAAAAAUAAAUUGAACAUGGUUAGCAUUAAUUUGAACUAUUUAGAACUUUCACAUACUUGAUUUUAUAGGAAAAUUCAAAUAGAUCACAAAGGACUUAAGAGCGAGAUGGUUAUGGGACAUGUGCAUGUGCUUCCUUUUCCAGAUGUUUCCCUUGAUGAGACUUCAGGCAUAACAGACUGGUAUUGGCUAGCCAUAUACAUCUCCUCUGGAAUCACAUCAGUCGUUAUUGUCGCAAUACUGUCUUGUCUGGGCAUCAGAUGCAUGUCGGGGCAGGCCAGUGCAGAGAAGGCAGCUGAUAAUCAGUAUGCAUCAGUACAGAUGUCUGAUAUGGGUCCUCCACUUCCUGACUCCCGUCAUCCCUCGCAAAGUAAGCAACGCAAUCGCUCACAUCCCACCCCAGCCAGUGCAGAGAGACAAGGAGAGCGUCUCUAUGAGCAUUGCAAUGACAUGGGGUCACGACCAACCAGCAACAUACCCUCCAGAGAUGUCAUACCAUCGCACAGGCAAUUGGCCAAUAACGUUGUCACUCAGAACAGGACGGAGGAGGAGGAGGCGGGUACAUUGGUGUACGCCUCACUGAAUCACCAGACCCCAAACCGGUUGCAGACUCGAGCCAUAGAGGUCACGGAGGAGUCCACUGAGUAUGCUGCUGUGCGCAGGUGCUAGUCUCAGACUGCUCUGCAUUAGAAAGGCACAUUGACUUCUUGUACUUGUUCCUGUACAUAUGUGAUUGAGAUAUUGGUGAUUUAUUAAUUGCAAUAUGUUAGUGUUGUUGAUGGCUUUAGUUAAUGAGCUCUGAACAUGGUCUUAAGGUUGUGAUCAGGAGCAACCAUACAGACAUUUGAACUACAUUCAUUUUCAUUUACAUGAACUUGCCUUAAUCUUGCUGAGAUGUAGUCUACAGGUGUGUUAAGACCACACAUCAUAUAUUCAAAAUGGCAUCUCUGCACCUAACCUUGUGCCCCUGUGGCUUAACUGGAAGAGCUCAGAACUAAGAACAUGGUCAUGGCUUCCACGUCCAGGGAGCACAGAUACUGAGGGCAAAUGGACAUAUGCACUGUGCUGUGAAGGAGUUGAAAAAUCAGAAUUAAGGAUCAGAGUUAAUCAAAUCAAAUCAAAUCAAAUCACACUUUGAUUAAUCAAUUAAUAAUGAUUGACAAUAAUCCAUAUUCCAACAAAUCUUAUAUUAAUUUGUAUUUGUUGCUUUUAAUUGGAUUUAGGUUCAAGUGUAAGAGUUUCUGGUUGAAUAUACUGUUAGAUGAAAUGACCGGAGAGAGGUGUGAAUGAGUGUUCACUCCCGUUCCCCUUCUCUUGGUCCUAUCAAAGUGUCUUUGAUAUUCCUUAUCUUCAUGAAUUCAGGCCUCUGAGACAUUUGCUCACAGCUGGAUCUCUUAAAUCAAUUUUCCCUGAGAACAAAUGUUGUGAAGUUUCUCGUCUCAGAGGUAGUAGACUGAUACAUAUUUAUGGAGGGAUGGGGCUAUGGGGUGACACCCCUUAUGCUAUGGAGGAUAUUAAAACUGAAAUGUUACAAUGGCUGACCAGAUGAGACAUAGGUGAAGCUUUUUAGUGAAAUCUCUGUCUAUCUCCCUGGAUGCGUCACUGCAUCACUGUACAAGAUUAAACCUGUUUCUUGACUGAUCAUAUCUCAGACUGAGUUUCCACCAAUCUUUUGGUACUAAUGAAUCACCAUCAACUGUGAGUCACUUUGGAUGAAAGUGCCGCCUAAACGAAUACAUGUAAAUGUAAAAUCAUUAUCAUUUGUGCCUUCAAGAGGAAAAUUAAAGUGUUUUAAGAGGUGUGGUCUGUUCUGUUUCACGGUGUUACUGUGUUUGUGUUUUUUAAUUUGUUUUACAUUUUUGUUCUAUAAAAUACUUUAAAAUCUUACUUUUGAGCUGAAUUAAGUACUACCCUGUUAUUAUUGUAAGUGUAACAACCUUGUCUUUACAUUUUGUUACUUACUAAUAAUUUUGUUAUUCAAACCUCACUAGACCUUCAACGUAAACAUAUUAAAUGUUUAAUAAAAAAAAUACCCAUGCCUAGCCUUUCCA